rnacentral:lncRNA from 1 species
UCCUCCAACGGCCAGACGACCUCCCCAUGUAGCUGGUUUUUCUCCCUCAAAUAACAGCCAAAACGAUUUUUGUUUGAUUCCAUGAUGACACGUGUCGACCCCGGAUUGGCCUUCAAAAGCACUACUCUGAUUCCAUGAUGGCCAAUCAGGGAUUGACACGUGGGUGCUUAGGAGCGCGACACCUGGCUAAAAGCAAACUGCAGAAUGACUCCC